rnacentral:rRNA from 1 species
ACUCCUACGGGAGGCAGCAGUGGGGAAUAUUGCACAAUGGGCGCAAGCCUGAUGCAGCCAUGCCGCGUGUAUGAAGAAGGCCUUCGGGUUGUAAAGUACUUUCAGCAGUGAGGAAGGCGGGUACGUUAAUAGCGUGCUUGUUUGACGUUAGCUGCAGAAGAAGCACCGGCUAACUCCGUGCCAGCAGCCGCGGUAAUACGGAGGGUGCGAGCGUUAAUCGGAAUUACUGGGCGUAAAGCGCAUGCAGGCGGCCUGUUAAGUCAGAUGUGAAAGCCCGGGGCUUAACCUCGGAAUUGCAUUUGAAACUGGCAGGCUAGAGUCUUGUAGAGGGGGGUAGAAUUUCAGGUGUAGCGGUGAAAUGCGUAGAGAUCUGAAGGAAUACCGGUGGCGAAGGCGGCCCCCUGGACAGAUACUGACACUCAGAUGCGAAAGCGUGGGGAGCAAACAGGAUUAGAUACCCUGGUA